rnacentral:rRNA from 1 species
CACUCCUGCGGGAGGCAGCAGUGGGGAAUAUUGGACAAUGGGCGCAAGCCUGAUCCAGCCAUGCCGCGUGAGUGAUGAAGGCCCUAGGGUUGUAAAGCUCUUUCACCGGUGAAGAUAAUGACGGUAACCGGAGAAGAAGCCCCGGCUAACUUCGUGCCAGCAGCCGCGGUAAUACGAAGGGGGCUAGCGUUGUUCGGAUUUACUGGGCGUAAAGCGCACGUAGGCGGACUAUUAAGUCAGGGGUGAAAUCCCGGGGCUCAACCCCGGAACUGCCUUUGAUACUGGUAGUCUUGAGUUCGAGAGAGGUGAGUGGAAUUCCGAGUGUAGAGGUGAAAUUCGUAGAUAUUCGGAGGAACACCAGUGGCGAAGGCGGCUCACUGGCUCGAUACUGACGCUGAGGUGCGAAAGCGUGGGGAGCAAACAGGAUUAGAAACCCGGGUAGUCCCA